UGGGGGAUAUUGCACAAUGGGCGAAAGCCUGAUGCAGCGACGCCGCGUGGGGGAUGAAGGCCUUCGGGUUGUAAACUUCUUUUGCUCUGAACAAGGCAUGCUAAUGGGUGUGUUGAGUGUAGGGGUUGAUUAGCGCCGGCUAACUACGUGCCAGCAGCCGCGGUAAUACGUAGGGCGCGAGCGUUGUCCGGAAUUAUUGGGCGUAAAGGGCUUGUAGGUGGCUGGUUGCGUCUGUCGUGAAAGCUCAUGGCUUAACUGUGGGUUUGCGGUGGGUACGGGCUGGCUUGAGUGCAGUAGGGGAGGCUGGAAUUCCUGGUGUAGCGGUGGAAUGCGCAGAUAUCAGGAGGAAUACCGGUGGCGAAGGCGGGUCUCUGGGCUGUUACUGACACUGGGGAGCGAAAGCAUGGGGAGCGAACAGG
rnacentral:rRNA from 1 species